GCCAGAGGCGCUGGCACAUUGAAUGUACCAGUUCCCCCAUAGAUCACUGAAGUUAAGCAACGUUCUGAGAGUGACAUUCGGAUGGGUGACCAUCUGAGAGCGAGCUUCUGGCU
rnacentral:rRNA from 1 species